rnacentral:rRNA from 1 species
GAUGAACGCUGGCGGCGUGCUUAACACAUGCAAGUCGAACGGAAAGGCGCAAGAUUGCUUGGGUCCUCGAGUGGCGAACGGGUGAGUAACACGUGGGUGAUCUGCCCUGCACUUCGGGAUAAGCCUGGGAAACCGGGUCUAAUACCGGAUAGGACCACAUUAUGGAGGGAGUGGAGGAAAGUGUUUCGGUGUGGGAUGAGCUCGCGGCCUAUCAGCUUGUUGGUGGGGAAAUGGCCUACCAAGGCGACGACGGGUAGCCGGCCUGGGAGGGUGUACGGCCACAUUGGGACUGCGAUACGGCCCAGACUCCUACGGGAGGCAGCAGUGGGGAAUAUUGCACAAUGGGCGCAAGCCUGAUGCAGCGACGCCGCGUGGGUGAUGACGUCCUGCGGGUUGUAAACUCCUUUCGCUAGGGACGAAGCGCAAGUGACGGUACCUGGAGAAGAAGCACCGGCUAACUACGUG